rnacentral:rRNA from 1 species
GUGCCAGCAGCCGCGGUAAUUCCAGCUCCAAUAGCGUAUAUUAAAGUUGUUGUGGUUAAAAAGCUCGUAGUUGAACCUUGGGCCUGGCUGGCCGGUCCGCCUCACCGCGUGCACUGGUCCGGCCGGGCCUUUCCCUCUGUGGAACCCCAUACCCUUCACUGGGCGUGGCGGGGAAACAGGACAUUUACUUUGAAAAAAUUAGAGUGCUCCAGGCAGGCCUAUGCUCGAAUACAUUAGCAUGGAAUAAUAAAAUAGGACGCGCGGUUCUAUUUUGUUGGUUUAUAGGACCGCCGUAAUGAUUAAUAGGGACGGUCGGGGGCAUCAGUAUUCAACUGUCAGAGGUGAAAUUCUUGGAUCAGUUGAAGACUAACUACUGCGAAAGCAUUUGCCAAGGAUGUUUUCAUUAAUCAGGAACGAAAGUUAGGGGAUCGAAGACGAUCAGAUACCGUCGUAGUCUUAACCAUAAACUAUGCCGACUAGGGAUCGGACGGUGUUAUUCAUGACCCGUUCGGCACCUUACGAGAAAUCAAAGUGCUUGGGCUCCAGGGGGAGUAUGGUCGCAAGGCUGAAACUUAAAGAAAUUGACGGAAGGGCACCACCAGGGGUGGAGCCUGCGGCUUAAUUUGACUCAACACGGGGAAACUCACCAGGUCCAGACACAAUAAGGAUUGACAGAUUGAGAGCUCUUUCUUGAUUUUGUGGGUGGUGGUGCAUGGCCGUUCUUAGUUGGUGGGGUGACUUGUCUGCCUAAUUGCGAUAACGAACGAGACCUUAACCUGCUAAAUAGCCCGCAUUGCUCCGGCAGUGCGCUGGCUUCUUAGAGGGACUUUCGGCUCAAGCCGAAGGAAGGUUG